UACGAAGGGUGCAAGCGUUACUCGGAAUUACUGGGCGUAAAGCGUGCGUAGGUGGUUUGUUAAGUCUGAUGUGAAAGCCCUGGGCUCAACCUGGGAAUUGCAUUGGAUACUGGCAGGCUAGAGUGCGGUAGAGGAUGGCGGAAUUCCCGGUGUAGCAGUGAAAUGCGUAGAGAUCGGGGAGGAACAUCUGUGGCGAAGGCGGCCAUCUGGACCAGCACUGACACUGAGGCACGAAAGCGUGGGG
rnacentral:rRNA from 1 species